rnacentral:rRNA from 1 species
GACGAACGCUGGCGGCGUGCUUAACACAUGCAAGUCGAACGGAAAGGCCCUGCUUUUGUGGGGUGCUCGAGUGGCGAACGGGUGAGUAACACGUGAGUAACCUGCCCUUGACUUUGGGAUAACUUCAGGAAACUGGGGCUAAUACCGGAUAGGAGCUCCUGCUGCAUGGUGGGGGUUGGAAAGUUUCGGCGGUUGGGGAUGGACUCGCGGCUUAUCAGCUUGUUGGUGGGGUAGUGGCUUACCAAGGCUUUGACGGGUAGCCGGCCUGAGAGGGUGACCGGCCACAUUGGGACUGGGAUACGGCCCGGACUCCUACGGGAGGGAGCAGUGGGGAAUAUUGCACAAUGGGCGGAAGCCUGAUGCAGCAACGCCGCGUGCGGGAUGACGGCCUUCGGGUUGUAAACCGCUUUCGCCUGUGACGAAGCGUGAGUGACGGUAAUGGGUAAAGAAGCACCGGCUAACUACGUG